GACGAACGCUGGCGGCGUGCCUAAUACAUGCAAGUCGAGCGAAUGGAUUAAGAGCUUGCUCUUAUGAAGUUAGCGGCGGACGGGUGAGUAACACGUGGGUAACCUGCCCAUAAGACUGGGAUAACUCCGGGAAACCGGGGCUAAUACCGGAUAACAUUUUGAACCGCAUGGUUCGAAAUUGAAAGGCGGCUUCGGCUGUCACUUAUGGAUGGACCCGCGUCGCAUUAGCUAGUUGGUGAGGUAACGGCUCACCAAGGCAACGAUGCGUAGCCGACCUGAGAGGGGGAUCGGCCACACUGGGACUGAGACACGGCCCAGACUCCUACGGGAGGCAGCAGUAGGGAAUCUUCCGCAAUGGACGAAAGUCUGACGGAGCAACGCCGCGUGAGCGAUGAAGGCUUUCGGGUCGUAAAACUCUGUUGUUAGGGAAGAACAAGUGCUAGUUGAAUAAGCUGGCACCUUGACGGUACCUAACCAGAAAGCCACGGCUAACUCCGUGCCAGCCGCCGCAGUAA
rnacentral:rRNA from 1 species